GGGUUGUGAGGUUAAGCGACUAAGCGUACACGGUGGAUGCCCUGGCAGUCAGAGGCGAUGAAGGACGUGCUAAUCUGCGAUAAGCGUCGGUAAGGUGAUAUGAACCGUUAUAACCGGCGAUUUCCGAAUGGGGAAACCCAGUGUGUUUCGACACACUAUCAUUAACUGAAUCCAUAGGUUAAUGAGGCGAACCGGGGGAACUGAAACAUCUAAGUACCCCGAGGAAAAGAAAUCAACCGAGAUUCCCCCAGUAGCGGCGAGCGAACGGGGAGCAGCCCAGAGCCUGAAUCAGUGUGUGUGUUAGUGGAAGCGUCUGGAAAGGCGCGCGAUACAGGGUGACAGCCCCGUACACAAAAAUGCACAUGCUGUGAGCUCGAUGAGUAGGGCGGGACACGUGGUAUCCUGUCUGAAUAUGGGGGGACCAUCCUCCAAGGCUAAAUACUCCUGACUGACCGAUAGUGAACCAGUACCGUGAGGGAAAGGCGAAAAGAACCCCGGCGAGGGGAGUGAAAAAGAACCUGAAACCGUGUACGUACAAGCAGUGGGAGCACGCUUAGGCGUGUGACUGCGUACCUUUUGUAUAAUGGGUCAGCGACUUAUAUUCUGUAGCAAGGUUAACCGAAUAGGGGAGCCGAAGGGAAACCGAGUCUUAACUGGGCGUUAAGUUGCAGGGUAUAGACCCGAAACCCGGUGAUCUAGCCAUGGGCAGGUUGAAGGUUGGGUAACACUAACUGGAGGACCGAACCGACUAAUGUUGAAAAAUUAGCGGAUGACUUGUGGCUGGGGGUGAAAGGCCAAUCAAACCGGGAGAUAGCUGGUUCUCCCCGAAAGCUAUUUAGGUAGCGCCUCGUGAA
rnacentral:rRNA from 1 species